rnacentral:rRNA from 1 species
ACACUCCUGCGGGAGGCAGCAGUGAGGAAUAUUGGACAAUGGGUGGAAGCCUGAUCCAGCCAUCCCGCGUGCAGGAAGACGGCCCUAUGGGUUGUAAACUGCUUUUAUCUGGGGAUAAACCUACUUACGUGUAAGUAGCUGAAGGUACCAGAAGAAUAAGCACCGGCUAACUCCGUGCCAGCAGCCGCGGUAAUACGGAGGGUGCAAGCGUUAUCCGGAUUUAUUGGGUUUAAAGGGUCCGUAGGCGGACUGAUAAGUCAGUGGUGAAAUCCGACAGCUUAACUGUCGAACUGCCAUUGAUACUGUUAGUCUUGAGUAAGGUUGAAGUGGCUGGAAUAAGUAGUGUAGCGGUGAAAUGCAUAGAUAUUACUUAGAACACCAAUUGCGAAGGCAGGUCACUAAGUCUUAACUGACGCUGAUGGACGAAAGCGUGGGGAGCGAACAGGAUUAGAAACCCCUGUAGUCCCAUGAU